rnacentral:rRNA from 1 species
UGUAAGCGUAUACCAAAGUUGUUGCAGUUAAAACGCUCGUAGUCGGAAUUUGGCAGUUCCGUAUGUGUGCACGUCGUGUGCGCACUUCGCGGGGAUUGCUUUUGUGGUCUUGCGUAGGAUGAGGCACUUUUAUUAGUGAACGUCCUCACGCAACCACUUUUUACUGUGAGAAAAUCAGAGUGCUCAAAGCAGGCAUUUGCCGUGAAUGUAUUAGCAUGGAAUAAUAGAAUAGGACUUGGUUCUAUUUUGUUGGUUUGUUGGGACUGAGUAAUGAUUAAGAGGGACAGUUGGGGGCAUUUGUAUUUCGGUGCUAGAGGUGAAAUUCUUAGAUUACCGAAAGACAAACUGCUGCGAAAGCGUCUGCCAAGGAUGUUUUCAUUGA